rnacentral:snRNA from 1 species
GUGCUUGUUUCGGCAGCACAUAUACUAAAAAUUGGGAUGAUACAGAGAAGAUUAGCAUAUCCCCUGUACAAGGAUGGCACACAAAUUCAUGAAGUAUUCCAUUUUAGA